rnacentral:rRNA from 1 species
AACCAUGAUUCCCUCAGUAACGGCGAGUGAAGCGGGAAAAGCUCAAAUUUGAAAUCUGUCAACAUUUCUUUUGUUGUCCGAGUUGUAAUUUCAAGAAGCUGCUUUGAGUGUAGACGAUCGGUCUAAGUUCCUUGGAACAGGACGUCAGAGAGGGUGAGAACCCCGUCUUUGGUCGAUUGGAUAUGCCAUAUAAAGCGCUUUCGAAGAGUCGAGUUGUUUGGGAAUGCAGCUCUAAAUGGGUGGUAAAUUUCAUCUAAAGCUAAAUAUUGGCGAGAGACCGAUAGCGAACAAGUAGAGUGAUCGAAAGAUGAAAAGAACUUUGAAAAGAGAGUUAAAUAGUACGUGAAAUUGCUGAAAGGGAAGCAUUGGAAAUCAGUCUUACCUGGGUGAGAUCAGUAGUCUCUUCGCGAGACUAUGCACUCUGAACCUGUGGUAGGUCAGCAUCAGUUUUCGGGGGCGGAAAAAGAAUAAGGGAAGGUGGCUUUCCGGGUUCUGCCUGGGGAGUGUUUAUAGCCCUUGUUGUAAUACGUCCACUGGGGACUGAGGACUGCGGCUUCGUGCCAAGGAUGCUGACAUAAUGGUUUUCAAUGGCCC